CGGACGGGUGAGUAACGCGUGGAAAACCUGCCGUAUACUGGGGGAUAACACUUAGAAAUAGGUGCUAAUACCGCAUAAGCGCACAGCUUCGCAUGAAGCGGUGUGGAAAACUCUGGUGGUAUACGAUGGUUCCGCGUCUGAUUAGCUAGUUGGUGGGGUAAUGGCCUACCAAGGCAACGAUCAGUAGCCGGCCUGAGAGGGUGAACGGCCACAUUGGGACUGAGACACGGCCCAAACUCCUACGGAAGGCAGCAG
rnacentral:rRNA from 1 species